UUAAAAUAAUUAGUCUAAUUUAAUCUAAUAUAGAAAUGUGUUAAGGAGAUUAAUAAAAAUCAAAAAAUUGGUAAUUUACAGGUGUGGUAGUAUUGUAAUAAGAACCCAUAAGUUAGAACUAUAUUAAUAAGUACUGUGAAGGAAAAUUGAAAUAAAAAGAAAAGCUAUAACAGGUUAAGAAAAAUUUAAUUGUUGUACCUUUUGUAUAAUGGUUAAGUAAGAAUAAAUUAAAAGUGUUUUGCAUCCCGAAACUUAAUGAUCUAGUGAGUUCUGUUUCAUAGGAAAUAUGGUUUUACUGUUGCAAUAGUAAUCCUAGAGGGUUCAUUAGUUGUGAAAUGCUAAUCGUAUUAAGUGAUAGCUGGUUCUUCAAGAAAUUAAUCUAAGUUAAAAAUAAAUUUAUAAGAUAAAACUUUCUUUUUGGAAAAAAGUUACUUCUCAUAUAAUAUUUUAUUUUAAGACAGGUGGGGAUAAGCUCGCUUGUCAAGUAGGAAAAAGCCUUAAUAAAUAAUUAAUAACAUUAUAAAUUUAAUGCAAGUAAGAGAUGAGUAGGAUUAAUAGCAUCUAUCUAAUAUAAAAGCGUUAAAGCUUGUCUGUUGGUUUGUGCAAAAAAUAUUGAAUAUAGAGUUUGAAGUUUUUAUUAAAUCUAUUGAAGAAUUUUAUUAAAGAUUUAAAAGAUAUAAUGCUUAAAUUAGUAAAGAGAUUAUAAUUGGUUGCGAGUUAAUCAACCCUAACUUAGGAUGGAUAAAAAGUUUAUUAAUCAAGAAUAAAACUUUUUCGGGUUGUCUUCCAACUCAGGAAAUUAAUAAGGUAAUAUAAAUUAAGGAAAAGGAACUCGGCAAAUGCAGACCUCGCCUGUUUACCAAAAACAUCGCUCCUUGCAAAAAAAUUGAUGAAUAAGGAGUUCUGCCUGCCCAGUGACGUAGUUAAACGGCCGCGGUAUUUUGACCGUGCAAAGGUAGCAUAAUCAUUUGCCUCUUAAAUAGGGGCUGGUAUGAAUGGCAAGACGAAGGUUAAGCUGUCUCUUUCUUAUAACUUGAAUUUAAUAUUCUUGUGAAGAAGCAGGAAUAAAUUUGUAGGACGAGAAGACCCUAUCGAGCUUUAGCAAAGUUAUUAGUAGUUAUUAAUACAAUUGGUCUAAUAAGGUUAGUCAUAACAGGUGAUUUUUAGCUUCUUGUUUGUUGCUGCUUAAUAAAAUAGUUUUGAUUGGGGCAAUCGCGGAGUAUAUAAAGCCUCCGCUAAAGAAGUUAAAAAAUUACUAUUUUACAGAAAGUGAUCCGCUAUUUAGCGAGCAAAGGAAUAAGUUACCGUAGGGAUAACAGCGUAAUUUUUUUGGAGAGUUCAUAUUGAUAAAAAAGUUUGCGACCUCGAUGUUGGAUCGAGAUUUCCUAGAGAUGCAGCAGUUUCUAAGGGUUGGUCUGUUCGACCAUUAAAAUCUUACGUGAUCUGAGUUCAGACCGGCGUAAGCCAGGUCAGUUUCUAUCCACGAAAGUUGUGUUUUUCUUAGUACGAAAGGACCAGAAAAGCAGUACCAAUUUUUUAAAAAAAGUACUAAAAAAAAGUUUUGAAAAAAAAUGAAAAUUUUCACUAAAAAAUUUUAUUUUUG
rnacentral:rRNA from 1 species